AUAGGGGGCCUCACAGCGCUCAGCGCACGUUAGCUGUCCGAUUUUGACUGUGUCCAAUCUCAGCCGUUUAUUCUUGCCAAGAGAGCACCAUCUGAUUGGCUGGCCGGUGUGUCUUGCUUUUGACCGCGUCCCUCCUUAGCGCAACCCCAUGCAACAGCCAUGUGUUACCCGCCAGCAACUGCGCGUCGGUCCCACUUCCGUCCGGGCCCGCACGUCGGUCACUGCGGGUCGAUUUCGUUCUGUCAGGCUUGCCAUCGGGUCUAGAAAAAGAUCUCCAUCCGCAGGGGUAGAUUGGGUAUUUCCUCGCACCGCGACCAGAUCACGCAAAACUGCAGCCCGUGGUCCAAACCUAACCAAUCGUGCUCCUCCCCCAAUCUCUUCGUUCUCCACCGCCGCCUCCCCAUCCGCUGCUCCCCGCCGCCUCCCCAUCCGCCGCUCCCCAUCGCGGCCGUCGUCCUCACCGGCGAGCCGCCGUCGCCCCGCUCUACCGCCGCUUCUCCCUCCUCUGGCCGAUAUCCGUCGUCACCAUGGCUGGUCGGGAGCAGGGCGCGAGCGCCGCCUCCCGUCGUCGCCAUGGCUGGCCGGGAGCAGGGCGCGAGCGCCGCCUCCCGUCGUCUCCAUGGCGCCAUUGAAUCUCCUCCUGGGGCCAGCAGGAGCGAGUUUUACAUGGAGGUCGCGAGCUCGCCAUCCGUCCAGGUUGAGCUGGCCCUCCCUCGACCCUGCACAGGCGCCGGCCGUCCGCACGCACGCUAGCCUCUUCCUCCAACGGUCGUCGACCUCCCUCUCUCCCCGACCUGCACCUCAACGCGGUGGCCGUGUCCAGCUAGGGGAGCUUCCACCCUAACCCUAGCAGCAGCAGGCGGUAACCCAACCUGCACCUCCAUGCCCUUCUUCACCCGCAGCAGGACGCUGGCGACCGGAUCGACCGUAUCUGCAUCAUCUCGAACCUCCAGCUGCAGCAGCCGGAUGCAACCUGCACCUCCACGCCAUUCCUCACCCGCAGCAGCACGCCGGCGACCGGAUCGACCAGAUCUGCAUCAUCACGAACCUCCAGCUGCAGCAGCCGGACGCAUCACUCCUGCUCUCAUCGACCAGCAGGUCGAGUGUGUGAGAUUCACCCAGCAGAUGAAAGAGGUCACCGGGCCAAGGAGAGGCGGCACUACAGAUUGACCAUGCACUUGCUGCCGAAGUAGGCACAGGAGGGCGUCGUGGCAUAAGCGCUAGCGUUGCGACCAAGGGUAUUGCAGUGGUCAAUGGUGGCAAGGUGUCUCGCCACAUCCAGAUAUCUACCUCCAUACAUAAUUUUUUUGGCUCAUGUAUGAGGUUUGAGCUGCUGUGGAGAUUAUUACAUUUGUUGGUUUAAUGUGAAAAUUGGGGUAUAUCUUUCUGUUACUUACUGACCACUUGAAUUGAUCUACUUAUAGAUGUUGUCUUAUUAAGUUGUUCAUACUUACUUAAAAUAAGCAUCCAAAAUCUGUGCUAAAGGAGACUGAUCUGUCUGUUUGGUCGUGUAAACAGCUUCAGGUUGCACAGGCAUGACAGUUAAAUGGAGGGUUCUGCUUAAGUGUUCUUACAGAUACAAGAUGCAAAAAUACACUUUGUUUUUUUGGGAAGAUAUGUAGGCCCUUAGAUAAGGGUUGAUGGUACCUUAGUUUUACUGGAAAGUCUAUAUAAUCAUUGUCAUUGUCAGCCACCGGUGAUUAAUCCCUGUUGGUUUAUUUUCAACUGUCAGUGCAGAUUUAGAUUCCUAGAUAGAAUGAGAAACUAAAUAUGUACUACUUCUCCUUUGAAUAAUAGGCCCCCAUUUCUUAUUUGUGCAAGUGUCUUAUUAUGUUUAAACAACUAUGUUACAUCCAAAUAAUUUUAUGUUGAUGCAAUAUAUGUCUCCGAAUUUCUUUUUUCAUGUGUGUUCCGUUAUCUCUACUAAAAAUUACUGUCUGGGCAUCUCCGUUCAUAUCAUGUCUGCUUUAUCAAACAGAUGGUUCAUUUAGGAUUUCAUAUAAAACUUUCUGUAUGGAGUAUUAAGUAGUUCAUUCAAUUUAGACUCAAUGUGAAUAUAAAAGUUGCGAUCAUGAUAUUAUGAGUGUUUUGCAGUGGAUGUUUCGUCUCUAAGUUGCAGUACACAGUACUGUAUAUAUUCACUGAAGAUUAAAAUUUUCUGGACAUAGAUUAGAUGAAUGUGGAACAACGGAGUUGGUGCUAAUCCCUAGAGUUUUAAUAUGUUUUUGAAAGAGGCAUCGCUGGCGGAGGAGCUAGAGAAGGCGCCAGGACUCCGCGAGGCAGCUGACGGACCGGGUCCUGGAUGAGCGGGAGAAGGCAAUGCGAUGGAAGGUGAGGGAUUUGGAGCUGAGGGACGUCAAGCAGAGGCGGCUGGUGGGAGAGCUCAUGCGGCUCAUUGGGAUGCCCCAGGUUUUCUCGCUUCUGGUUAUUGGCUGGUGGGGGAUCUGCUAUCUUCGUGGUUUCCUCGACAGAUCAUGGAUUAUUUUGCCCCCAUGUGCAUUUACUUCUACAUAACGGCGUUCCAUGAAGUGGCAAGCUAGCUGCAGGAGAGAAGAUCAAUCUAUGUAUUGUUCAAUGUACGCAAUAGCUUGCAUCCAAAGAUAGCUUGCCUAUACAUUAUACAACCUCUAUAUAGGAGAUGAUUCUUUUCAGUCCAAGGUCGCUUCAUGCUUUUGCUUGCUGGUCAUCUGGUCUGUCUGAUUGCAGUACAUGAAAACAACUAUUGGCGAAGCAGCAAGGCGAAGUUGCGCGCUGACCAACAUGGUAACCUCUUCGUGCCAGGGGUGAUCAGAUGAAUACAAUAAAGCUCUUGCAAGUGGCUGGUUUCUUGCCGGCAGACAUAUGUCUUACUUUUCUCGGCAGGUACCAUGGAUAAGGUUUGAAAUACUUAAGAUGUGGGGUUUAGGCUUAAACUUGCAGGCGAAUGCUUGGAGAAACAUCUGGAGAAAACUAGGAUGAGCUCUUAUUCCUAGACUUAAAACAAAGGAGUUUACCUGAUGUGUUAAGAUCUAAAAUUGCAAUGCUGGCUACCAAAGGAAAACCGCGUGUGCUCAAAAGUUCCUCCUUGCAAUUGUGGGGGCCAAAUAAAAUUCUGGCUAUACAUGCAUCCAAAGACAUGGACUAUUUUCAAUGGGUUCCAAGUAACGAAAUCAGCUCCUCUCUUGAUGUAUUGUUAUGCUAUUUCCGCACCAUUGUAAACAUUUUGAGUAGCUCUUAUCGAACAACUUAUCUCGCACUUUACACUGUUGGACCCUCUCUCAUGAUGAGUUCAGAAGUAAUUAUGUUAGACGUGGCUGCCGCUUGACAGCGAUUUAUAUUAUUGCUUGGCUAAAAAGGAUUAGAGGUACAUUAUAUUUUUCAUGUGGUUAGUAUAUUCUAAAUGAUACAAUACCCAAAAUACUUUACCCAGCGAUUGACUAUGUGAAAGGUUGGGUGGCCUGUGGACUGAUAGACUUAUUUUCUGACUAUUAUCAUCGUUUUGUAUAAAUACUAGAUGCAUUUUGGA